rnacentral:rRNA from 1 species
UCUGCAGGUGGUUUCUUAAGUCUACUGUUAAAUCUUGAGGCUCAACCUCAAAUCUGCAGUAGAAACUAGGAGACUUGAGUAUAGUAGGGGUAAAGGGAAUUUCCAGUGGAGCGGUGAAAUGCGUAGAUAUUGGAAAGAACACCGAUGGCGAAGGCACUCUACUGGGCUAUUACUGACACUCAGAGACGAAAGCUAGGGGAGCAAACA